rnacentral:rRNA from 1 species
GAUGAACGCUGGCGGCGUGCCUAAUACAUGCAAGUCGAGCGAACAGACGAGGAGCUUGCUCCUCGGACGUUAGCGGCGGACGGGUGAGUAACACGUGGAUAACCUACCUGUAAGACGGGUAUAACUUCGGGAAACCGGCGCUAAUCCCGGAGAAUAUCUUGAACCACAUGGGGCGAUAGUGAAAGACGGUUUUGCGGUCACUUAUCGCGGGAUCCCCGCCGCAUUAGCUAGUUGGUGAGUUAACGGCUUACCAAGGCAACGAUGCGUAGACGACGGGACAGGGUGGUCGCCGGCACGAGAAGUGAGCCGGGGACCAGGGGACUACGGUAGGGAGCAGUAGGGAAUGGUCCGCAGUGGGCGAGAGCCUGACGGAGCGACGGGGCGUGAGUGACAGAAGUGUUGGGAUCGUAAUACUCGGCUACUAGGGAUAAACAAAUGUGUCAGUUACUAUGGCCUGAUUGACGGUACUUAGUCAGAAAGCAACGGCUAACUACGUG